rnacentral:lncRNA from 1 species
AUGGAUUAGGGUCCAUCCUUCUGGGUCUAUAUGGCAACAUUGCUGGUGGUUCAGGCAGAAGUGCCAAAGGUUGAUCAUGCGGGGCCACAUGAAGUGGAAUGGGCUGAGGUUCUGGCUGGUUCUGCUGAGCUAGUGCAAGGUCAUCUGGUCGGGCUGGGGCUUCGUGUUCUUGAUUAGGAAGGGCUCCUUCCCUCGGACCAGCCUGAAUUUCUCUGUGGUCUGGUACUCCAGCCAUCUAUGCAACUAGGGGGUUUUCCUGGUAUGGCCAAGCUAGUCCUGGCGGAGGGCCAUAAGAGAGAUCUAACUGCUAGAUUACAGGAUCCGGGUUUGGGAUUCUGGCCAUGGCGGAUUCUCGGUCUUUCCGGAACUGUCUGUUAACCUACCAUUGCAUCAUGGUUGUCAUGUUAUUGAGAGUAUCCUGGCUCUUUUGUACUGUGAUUUCUUGUCGGAGUACUGACUCCUGUAUUUGAUUCAUCCUUUUGGAGCCAGUCCUGGAACGUCUACUUCCUGUACUGCCGUGGGCAGAUUGCCUAGCAUCGCUUUCUUCUGAUUCGAGGCCUUCCCUGAGAACCAUCUUGUUUCUCUCCAUAUCUGGUGUGGGUUCUGGCUAGAUCUUCCGGUAUUUGUAAAUCUGUGAAUGAUUCUGUCAGAGUAUGUAUACUGAGAAGUCCCACUGGGCGUGCCAAAUUGUUCACCCAUUUUCGUGUUUACUCCUAAGAUGGAGGGGCGAAGUUCCCCACUGGCUUG